rnacentral:ncRNA from 2 species
UGCGGGGAGGGCGACUGGCGGCACGGGGAUGGGUCGGACCAUCGGGGAGCCUGUCACGGGAGUCGACCGCCUGGGCUGCCGUU